ACCUACUCGAAAGUGACUGCAGCA
rnacentral:piRNA from 1 species